rnacentral:lncRNA from 10 species
ACUCCUCGACUCUAUCGUUACCUCAAGUUUGCAUUUUACGUCCCUUACUCCCCAGCAAAGAUACUACAGGCAAGAUUAAUCUGAUAUAUUCAUUCAUAAAAUUAGUCUUUUUUUAGUACACUAGAGUGUGUAAUUCUCCAUUCAUAUCUACCCUAUUGUUCAAAUUAGUCAUCCUGAAAUUUUAAAGUACCAAUAUACUUGGCACAUGCAGAAUGAGGUCCAACCUGUAUGAGCAAAACUUCUGUCUGUAAAUGGAAGUGUCAGGGUAAAUGGAAGUGAAAUAUUCACAUUUAUUUUCUAUUUACAAUACUUAUCAAUGGCUCCGUGUAGUAUUUCUGCACAGGUGGUAGCAAUGUAGUCUACGAACUCAACAGGUAGCAAAUUUUUCCUAUCCUCCUAUUUCUAGCUCCUUGUUAUUUCAUCACUAUACAUAUUUUUAUUUCCUUGAAUGUAUUUUGUAUAUCUCACUACCUAGCUUUUAGCAUUUUCUUAAUCCUAUCUCCUCUAAUACAUUAAUUUAUUUAUUCACUCAUUCAAUAAAUAUUUAUGAAAAACAUUUUCUAAGUUUGAUGAUAAAUUUAGAAGCUCUAAAAACUUUUUUAGACAUAAUACUUUUAAAUCAUUUAAUAAAUGGCAAGGAAACUUGAAUAUUCAUUUCUUUCCCAUUCCUUUUGAUCAAAAUAGCCUGAUCAUUCCCUUGGGCCUGACUAAAUUUUAGACAGGCUUUAUUUUCUUCCCCCCGACUCUAGGCUCCUACCUCCCUUUUGUUGAGAGCAUUUACUUUAUAAAACUUAUUAUUACAAAUCCUUUCUCGGCUCCUUUAAAAUAUAAAAUAAUCUGUUGCCCUUUUUACAAUACAAGAUUUUCUUUCUCAUUUACUUGGAAUCCAUCCCCUUGAAAUAUAAUAAUCAAGAAAGAAUCCCUGUCUUCCCAUCCCUGUGGGAGGGUAGGAGCCUAAUGUCAUGAGUGGCAAUAAGUAAACACAGAUGGCCUAACCACACUGACCAAGAUCCCCAUAAACUCCUCCAGCACUUUUCCAUUUGUUCAACUCCAGGGCUUAAAAAUCCAUUUGUUCAACCCCAGGGCUUAAAAAUCUUCCCAUCUAUUAUUUCCAUGAGAGUUGAGUUUAGUUAGUCUUCUCUGUUACAAUAGUCUUGUCUCCUGUGGCAAUGCUCUUAAAUAAAAUUUUUCUUCCCUAUUAAACCUGUCCCAUGCAAUUGCUGUGUGACACUUUAAAAUUGUAUUAUGAAAAUUUGUACCUGUUUCCUUUUCUAUAUUUUCUAUUUCUUGUCCUUGCUAUCCCCUAGGUAAUAUGGUAAAAGGUAGAAAAAGUAUAAAACUUUGAAAAAUAAUAAUAUUGUGUUUUUCUUCUCUUUAAUCCUUUCUAAUCAGUUAAUGUUUCAUAAUCAGUUAAGGCUCUCUCCUCAAGUCAGUUGAAACUACUUUUUUUGUUUUCUAGUCAGUGACAUACAUAUAUGUAUAGACCAUAUAAGAGCUUCUUAAGGAAUGCUUACUUACUCCUGAUGUUAUAGAAGAAUACAGUAAGUAAUAUUUAGAUGAGCAUAUUUUAUUUUAAUAGUUAUAUGUUUAUUUUAAUAUUAUUUGACAUUUAAUAUUAUAUUCAGCUUAUUUUUUAACUUUAUUGUCACAAAAGCAAUUGCGUUUAAAAUAUGUACUCCAGUUUUACCAACUAUGUGAAGCGGAUGCAGGAAGGACUGGUGUUCGGGAAAUACUCUCUUACCCAUGACGAUGAGGCUCUAUGACACCGUGGUUCCUGUCCCACGGGUUUGUAAACUCCUCUAAGAAAUAAUUAACAAUUAUUAAAAAUAUUCUUGCAAUUCAAUUUCUGAUAUGAAGAAUUUUUUACCCAUAGAUACAUUUAACAACUGAUAUUUAUGUUAAUUAAUUUUUGACAUCAAAUAUUUAUUAAGACCAACUAUAAGUCAAAAGUGUUCAUGAUUUUGGAGAGACAAAAAUUACAACGAAGUGAUCUUGCCCUGAAGGUGUUGCAGUUGAAGGGGUCAAAAAAUAUGUCAGGAGAAAAUCAGUAGGCAAUUAAAAUUACAUGCAGUAAUGAGAUUCCUUGGAAGAUGAUGUACAAUAAUGAAGAAAUUGUGAGAUAUUUUGUACAUGGAGUACAACGUAAAAAAGUGUCUUGGAAUUUAUCAACAAGGAAAGAAGGAAAGAGAUUCCUGGCAAAGGAUCCAGCUUCCAGCUUUUACCAAGGCAGCAAAGAUAUGGAAAGCUAUGACAUGUCUAGAUAUAAGGAAAUUUAUGGAGUUGUUUAUUGGUAUGAAGAAAGAGAUUAGCUAUGCAGAUUGAUAUUGACUGCUGAACAGCCUUUUAUGCAUUGAAAAGUAAUUUAAGUUUUAAUUUCAUUUAGCUUUUAUCUUAAUACUGUUUAUGUCUUCCCAUGCCUUUUCCUUAUUUUUAAAAUUUUAAAAUUUUUUUUAUGCUUCUUGUAAAGAGUAGGAGAUGCUUUUUAUUUAGUCUUGAGUUUAUCUGGUAAUUAUGUGUGAAAGUAUCUUAUAUUUAUUGUAUUAAUGAUAAAUUUAAGUUUCUUUUAUACCAUCUUUUAAAACAGCUUUAUUAAGGUAUAAUUAACAUAGAAUAGAUUGCACUGAUUAUAGUAUAUACAAAGCCACCAACACUAUCAUUACAGAUGUUAUCUAUCAACUCAAAGGUUUCCUUAUGCCCCUUAGGAAUUCCUUCCUUCCACAUCCCACACCAAUCAUUGAUCUGAUUUUUGUCACUAUAGAUUAUUUUGCAUUUUCUUGUUAUAUAAAUGAAUCAUACACUAAACAUUCUUUAGUUGUUCAAUUUCUUCCAUUCAACAUAAUUAUUUUGAGAUCUAUCAAUGAAGUUAGUGUAGAAAACAUCUAUUCUUUUUUAUUGCUAGGUAGUAUUCCAUGACUUAUUCAUGUUACACCAUAUGUUUAUCCAUUCACUUGUUGAAAGAGGUGAAUAAAACUGCUAUGAUCAUUUGGAGG